AAACAAGCUUAUGGAUGCUCUAAAACAUGCUUCUAAUAUGCUGGGUGAACUCUGGACUUCUAUGUUAUCACCAGAGAGCUACUAUGAACUUUAUAUGGCCAUUUCUGAUGAACUGCACUACUUGGAGGUCUACCUGACAGAUGAGUUUGCUAAAGGAAGGAAAGUGGCAGAUCUCUAUGAACUUGUACAGUAUGCUGGAAGCAUUAUCCCAAGGCUUUACCUUUUGAUCACAGUUGG